AUACGGAGGGUGCAAGCGUUAUCCGGAUUUAUUAGGUUGAAAGGGUCCGCAGGCGGGCCUAUAAGUCAGUGGUGAAAUCCUGCAGCUUAACUGUAGAACUGCCAUUGAUACUGUAGGCCUUGAGUUCAGACGAGGUAGGCGGAAUAUAUAGUGUAGCGGUGAAAUGCUUAGAUACUAUAUAGAACACCGAUUGCGAAGGCAGCUUACUAGACUGUAACUGACGCUCAUGGACGAAAGCGUGGGGAGCGAACAGGAUUAGAUACCCCGGUAGUCC
rnacentral:rRNA from 1 species